UACGUAGGGUGCAAGCGUUGCCCGGAUUUACUGGGCGUAAAGGGCGCGUAGGCGGCCUGCUAAGUCGAACGUGAAAUCCCUGGGCUCAACCCAGGAACUGCGUCCGAUACUGGUUGGCUUGAAUCCGGGAGAGGGAUGUGGAAUUCCAGGUGUAGCGGUGAAAUGCGUAGAUAUCUGGAGGAACACCGGUGGCGAAGGCGACAUCCUGGACCGGUAUUGACGCUGAGGCGCGAAAGCCAGGGGAGCAAACGGG
rnacentral:rRNA from 1 species